UGGGUCUUGUUAGUGGGAAUUCCUAAAACGUGCAAGAUUAGAGCAGAAUAAAAUGGAGCUGAGGAUGUUAUCUACCGAGUACGAACAUCCUUUCGCCCAUAUCGAUCAAGCAAAUGACUCCAAGGCAAUAAGAGAUUACUUUCUGUCAACGUGGGACGCCAACUUGCCACUUCUUCAUAUUCCAUCUUGUCUCAAAAUCCAACUUCAUCAUCAGUUAAGAAUCGAGGAGUUUGCACAUGCUGAGUUGCCACAAGAGAGAGGAUGGCGGAGGCAAGAGUCGAGGGGACAACGUUAGAGUUCACGCCGACACGGGUGGUGGCUGUAGUUUGUUGCAUCAUAGAGGUGAUCUCUUUCCUUGUGAAAGGUCCCUUCAUUGGGCCGGCGAGGCAGCUAAUUGCAUUUUGUUCCUUGACAUAUCCAACGUUGUGCUGUACUCUCUCGAAAGACAUUGUUCAUGGUAAAGUAAGUGACUCUGCAGUUUGUCAAAUAUCGCAGAAACUCCGAGAAACAGCAGAAGCGUCUCCUUGAUGCCUUGCAAAAGAUCAAAGAAGGUGAGAGCAGACAGGAAAAGUAAAGAAAAUGACCUAUGUACUAACGCGGCACAAAAUGACACAUUGCGUUUUCAGAGUUCUGGGCAUGAAUGUAUUGCAGUGGCUUGGAGGUUUGAUGCUACUGGGUUUCAUAUUGCUGCUCCUGGCGGUGUUCCAAACAGGAAUUGGGAAGAUUUGCAAGUUGCCAGCGCUUGCUGACAGGUUGCUUCCUUGCAGGAAGUAGGACAAUUCUUGCAGUGGAACUGGCGGAGGAUGACGCUGUCUUCUCGUCGAAGCCUAUCUUGCAACCGAUUAUUGUGUUCAAAUGGUCUAUCGUGCAUUGGAAAACUAUUUUAGCAGAGACACAAAAGCGAUUAAAAGGUUUUAUGAUCUGAAUGCGUUCUGAACAUAUAGUUUAGGACUUUCGGUCGUGCCGGUAUCUUGAAUUGCUGUGGCUUUUUGUGUUUUAUCCUUUCCUUUUUCGGGGGAAGGUGCCAUUGUUAUCAUUUACGGCAUUACAGCAUCUACACAUUUUCAUCUUUGUGCUCUAGGCAGUCCACGUAAUUGUCUCUGUUUCCGCGAUUCUCUGUGUAGAAACAAAGGCACGGCUUUACUGUUGCUUCAUUUGGCAAGAUUCGGCCUCCUAAUUUCCCAAAAUUCUUAUAGGAUUAAUACUGCAAUGUCAUACAUUUGACUACAUAAAUGCGCUCUUAGAUAUGGCAAUGGAGGCGGCGGGAGGCUGCUAAGAUCCGAAAGGAUGAAUAGUACAAGCUUGAAGAUUGCAAGUCUGUUAUUGUCCAGAAAAAAAAAAGAUACCAUUGGCAACUCGGAUCUUCUGUUCUUAAGAUGCCCUUCUUACCUCAUCAAAAGACUACUCUUCUUGUAGGUAGGGGAUAAAGAUUGUUUUAUCUCACUUAGUGAACAUAAACAGAAAGUUAAUUUCCUAGUUUGCUACCUGAAGCCAGCAAUGAAACGGCGGAAACCGGCAGUGUUUCAGCUGGAGUUCUAGCAAAUUAUUGGUUAGAGACAUCAAAGACGCGUAUAUCAGAAUGAAUCUCGCAAUUAUCCGAAGCAUUUGAAGAUGCAUUCACAAGCGAGUCCAUUCCAAAACCUGAAUGCACAUCCCACGCAAAGUCAUGUCUUUCGAAACUUCCCUAGUGAUUCAGCAUUAGAAGUUGAAGAAUCCAUAAUGACUUAAAUCACUAGUAUUCUGUAUGAACCCCUGUUCUGUUCAGAGUCAGUUAACGAUUACAACUAUUGACCUGUUCUUGGGUACUUCUUGCAGGGUCUAAUGCGUAGUUUCGGUUGUCGUUUGUGCCAUUGAUCGUAAGUAGCCAUAAAGAUCCUCAAGCUUUCUUAAGUUUGCAAAGUUUCAGGCAUCAUAUGUUUAUGCCAUCUCUGUUUUAUCUUGGACCGCUCGAAUCAGUGGAGCACAGAGCAGAUUGCAAAGCCGAGUUAAGCUUCUCAGAUGAUGAUUACACUAUCGUUAGAUAAAUCUAUAAGAGAGGAACGGGACUUGUACUUGCUAACACGACAUUGAAUCCGUGAUUUAGAUGAUAGCCAAUUUUGGUGUAACUAAAUUGCUGCAAAGUGGAGAUUGCUCCGGUACCGAAUGAAAUUCAACUGCCAAAGAGACAUUUUAGGAUGAUUAUCAUAGCUACAUAAGGAGUUUUUUUGGUUCUUUUAAAUGCUUCUAUGGGAAUAAAGUUAGCACUUCAGCAGGAAUUGGUCGGUUCCCCACGCUAGAGUCCAAAAGAAAUCUGGUUGAAAAAAACAUGAAUCUUGCUCUUAUGCAGCUUUUGCUCGCUGUUGGCACCAAACCGGAACGUGUAACGGCACAGCUGGUAAAAGAGGUUGCUCGGACGCAUGGGGCCGCCGCCAGGGACUUGAUGAUUGACCCCUCAGAUGAAGACUUUUGGUUCCAUGGGGCUCGGCUCAUCCUCCGCUCGAUUCGCAUCGCACUCUUCCAAUCCUCUUUUGAACAGGCCUCCUCCUUAUUUGUAUUGGACCAAUCUUUGAGGCCCAGCACUUAUCUGUUCAAGCGUUCUGGAUAGAGCAUUUGUCCUGUUCCGCUGUAAUAACAGCACACUACCGCUAUAUGCCGUCCUGAAAACUCAGAUGGGUGAGCACAGGACCAUUACCAUUGAAGAACAUGAACGAGAGAGCAUUCUUCCAUGUCAUGCUCGAGGAGCGAAAAGGAAUGAGGAGUUCAGGAGAAGUGGCUUAUAAUGAAGGCGCUAUGGGUUCGGAG